UGGGGAAUAUUGCACAAUGGGGGAAACCCUGAUGCAGCGACGCCGCGUGAGCGAAGAAGUAUUUCGGUAUGUAAAGCUCUAUCAGCAGGGAAGAAAAUGACGGUACCUGACUAAGAAGCCCCGGCUAACUACGUGCCAGCAGCCGCGGUAAUACGUAGGGGGCAAGCGUUAUCCGGAUUUACUGGGUGUAAAGGGAGCGUAGACGGGACAGCAAGUCUGAUGUGAAAGGCGGGGGCUCAACCCCCGGACUGCAUUGGAAACUGCUGACCUGGAGUACCGGAGGGGUAAGCGGAAUUCCUAGUGUAGCGGUGAAAUGCGUAGAUAUUAGGAGGAACACCGGUGGCGAAGGCGGCUUACUGGACGGUAACUGACGUUGAGGCUCGAAAGCGUGGGGAGCAAACA
rnacentral:rRNA from 1 species